GUUUGAUCCUGGCUCAGAUUAAACGCUGGCGGCAUGCCUUACACAUGCAAGUCGAACGGCAGCACGGGGGCAACCCUGGUGGCGAGUGGCGGACGGGUGAGUAAAGCAUCGGAACGUAUCCUGGAGUGGGGGAUAACGUAGCGAAAGUUACGCUAAUACCGCAUAUUCUGUGAGCAGGAAAGCAGGGGAUCGCAAGACCUUGCGCUCUGGGGAGCGGCCGAUGUCGGAUUAGCUAGUUGGUGGGGUAAAGGCCUACCAAGGCGACGAUCCGUAGCGGGUCUGAGAGGAUGAUCCGCCACACUGGGACUGAGACACGGCCCAGACUCCUACGGGAGGCAGCAGUGGGGAAUUUUGGACAAUGGGCGCAAGCCUGAUCCAGCCAUGCCGCGUGAGUGAAGAAGG
rnacentral:rRNA from 1 species